GAUGAACGCUGGCGGCGUGCUUAACACAUGCAAGUCGAACGGAAAGGCCCAAGCUUGCUUGGGUACUCGAGUGGCGAACGGGUGAGUAACACGUGGUUGAUCUGCCCUGCACUUCGGGAUAAGCCUGGGAAACUGGGUCUAAUACCGGAUAGGACCACUUCUUGGAUGUUGUGGUGGAAAGUUUUUUCGGUGUGGGAUGAGCUCGCGGCCUAUCAGCUUGUUGGUGGGGUAAUGGCCUACCAAGGCGUCGACGGGUAGCCGGCCUGAGAGGGUGUACGGCCACAUUGGGACUGAGAUACGGCCCAGACUCCUACGGGAGGCAGCAGUGGGGAAUAUUGCACAAUGGGCGCAAGCCUGAUGCAGCGACGCCGCGUGGGGGAUGACGGCCUUCGGGUUGUAAACUCCUUUCGCUAGGGACGAAGCGUUUUGUGACGGUACCUGGAGAAGAAGCACCGGCUAACUACGUG
rnacentral:rRNA from 1 species